rnacentral:rRNA from 1 species
CCUACGGGAGGCAGCAGUGGGGAAUAUUGCACAAUGGGGGAAACCCUGAUGCAGCGACGCCGCGUGAGUGAAGAAGUAUUUCGGUGUGUAAAGCCCUAUCAGCAGGGAAGAAAAUGACGGUACCUGUCUAAGAAGCCCCGGCUAACUACGUGCCAGCAGCCGCGGUAAUACGUAGGGGGCAAGCGUUAUCCGGAUUUACUGGGUGUAAAGGGAGCGUAGGCGGCCAGACAAGUCAGAAGUGAAAGCCCAGGGCUCAACCCUGGGAGUGCUGUUGAAACUGCCGGGCUUGAGUGCAGGAGAGGUAAGCGGAAUUCCUGGUGUAGCGGUGAAAUGCGUAGAUAUUAGGAGGAACACCAGUGGCGAAGGCGGCUUACUGGACUUUAACUGACGUUGAGGCUCGAAAGCGUGGGGAGCAAACAGGAUUAGAUACCCCAGUAGUC